rnacentral:rRNA from 1 species
GACGAACGCUGGCGGCGUGCUUAACACAUGCAAGUCGAACGGAUCAUACAGAUAGGUAACUUGAAGUAUGGUUAGUGGCGGACGGGUGAGUAACACGUGGAUAAUCUGCCUGUAACUCUGGGAUAACCCUGUGAAAACGGGGCUAAUACCGGAUGAGUUCCCCACCUCGCAUGGGGAGGGGAAGAAAGGAGCAAUCCGGUUACAGAUGAGUCCGCGGCUGAUUAGCUAGUUGGUGGGGUAACGGCCUACCAAGGCGACGAUCAGUAGCCGGCCUGAGAGGGUGAACGGCCACACUGGGACUGAGACACGGCCCAGACUCCUACGGGAGGCAGCAGUGGGGAAUCUUCCGCAAUGGGCGAAAGCCUGACGGAGCAACGCCGCGUGGGUGAAGAAGGCCUUCGGGUUGUAAAGCCCUGUCUUAUGGGAAGAAGAAAGUGACGGUACCAUAGGAGGAAGCCACGGCUAACUACGUG